rnacentral:rRNA from 1 species
UACGAAGGGGGCUAGCGUUGCUCGGAAUCACUGGGCGUAAAGCGCACGUAGGCGGCUUCUUAAGUCAGGGGUGAAAUCCUGGAGCUCAACUCCAGAACUGCCUUUGAUACUGAGGAUCUUGAGUUCGGGAGAGGUGAGUGGAACUGCGAGUGUAGAGGUGAAAUUCGUAGAUAUUCGCAAGAACACCAGUGGCGAAGGCGGCUCACUGGCCCGAUACUGACGCUGAGGCACGAAAGCGUGGGGAGCAAACAGGA